rnacentral:rRNA from 1 species
UACUAUACAUGCAGUUGAGCGCUGAAGGUUGGUACUUGUACCGACUGGAUGAGCAGCGAACGGGUGAGUAACGCGUGGGGAAUCUGCCUUUGAGCGGGGGACAACAUUUGGAAACGAAUGCUAAUACCGCAUAAAAACUUUAAACACAAGUUUUAAGUUUGAAAGAUGCAAUUGCAUCACUCAAAGAUGAUCCCGCGUUGUAUUAGCUAGUUGGUGAGGUAAAGGCUCACCAAGGCGAUGAUACAUAGCCGACCUGAGAGGGUGAUCGGCCACAUUGGGACUGAGACACGGCCCAAACUCCUACGGGAGGCAGCAGUAGGGAAUCUUCGGCAAUGGACGAAAGUCUGACCGAGCAACGCCGCGUGAGUGAAGAAGGUUUUCGGAUCGUAAAACUCUGUUGGUAGAGAAGAACGUUGGUGAGAGUGGAAAGCUCAUCAAGUGACGGUAACUACCCAGAAAGGGACGGCUAACUACGUGCCAGCAGCCGCGGUAAUACGUAGGUCCCGAGCGUUGUCCGGAUUUAUUGGGCGUAAAGCGAGCGCAGGUGGUUUAUUAAGUCUGGUGUAAAAGGCAGUGGCUCAACCAUUGUAUGCAUUGGAAACUGGUAGACUUGAGUGCAGGAGAGGAGAGUGGAAUUCCAUGUGUAGCGGUGAAAUGCGUAGAUAUAUGGAGGAACACCGGUGGCGAAAGCGGCUCUCUGGCCUGUAACUGACACUGAGGCUCGAAAGCGUGGGGAGCAAACAGGAUUAGAUACCCUGGUAGUCCACGCCGUAAACGAUGAGUGCUAGAUGUAGGGAGCUAUAAGUUCUCUGUAUCGCAGCUAACGCAAUAAGCACUCCGCCUGGGGAGUACGACCGCAAGGUUGAAACUCAAAGGAAUUGACGGGGGCCCGCACAAGCGGUGGAGCAUGGUGGUUUAAUUCGAAGCAACGCGAAGAACCUUACC